rnacentral:rRNA from 1 species
AUACGUAGGUGACAAGCGUUAUCCGGAUUUACUGGGCGUAAAGGGCGUGUAGGCGGUCUUGCAAGUCAGAAGUGAAAUUCCUGAGCUCAACUCGGGCGCUGCUUCUGAAACUGCAGGACUUGAGUGCUGGAGGGGAUAGCGGAAUUCCUAGUGGAGCGGUAAAAUGCGCAGAUAUUAGGAAGAACACCGGUGGCGAAGGCGGCUAUCUGGACAGUAACUGGCGCUGAGGCGCGAAAGCGUGGGGAGCAAACAGGAUUAGAUACCCUGGUAGCCCACGCCGUAAACGAUGAAUACUAGGUGUAGGGGGUAUCGACUCCCUCUGUGCCGCAGUUAACACAAUAAGUAUUCCGCCUGGGGAGUACGGCCGCAAGGUUGAAGCUCAAAUGAAUUGACGGGG